UUGGUCAAGUUUGGGUCAUGUGUUCAUCCCUGGGCCAAUCCUUGCAGCAUCCCAGGAGAAACACUGUGAUUGGUCAGGCCCCUGGUCAAUGCUCCGCCCUGUGGCCACAGGCAGGUGAGAAGGAUGGCUGCCCCUGCUAGGGCCACAGAAGGGCAACGCUUUACAGAGGGAGCCUGGGCCAGAGACACAACAGAGCUCCACUCUUGUUGUUUAUUUUUUGGGUGUGCGAAAUUCUGGGGCUGGAGACGUCAUUGAAGGCCAUGGAUGUAGGUUGGAGCUGCCCCGAGGGGACCAGAGUCAUCAGUGUGGGGCAGACACAGUCUGCAUCUCGGAGUUUAAGAUGCCGCAAACCUUCUUUGCC